rnacentral:sRNA from 1 species
GCUGGGCACAGUGGCGCACACCUGUAAUCCCAGUGGCUUGGGAGGCUGAGGCAGGAGGAUGGAGAGUUCCAAAGCCAGCCUCAGCAACUUAGCAAGACCCUGUCUCUA